rnacentral:misc_RNA from 1 species
GAUGAAGAACGUAGCGAAAUGCGAUAAGUAAUGUGAAUUGCAGAAUUCAGUGAAUCAUCGAAUCUUUGAACGCACAUUGCGCCCCCUGGUAUUCCGGGGGGCAUGCCUGUCCGAGCGUCAUUACAACCCUCAAGCUCAGCUUGGUGUUGGGCCCCGCCGCCCCGGCGGGCCCUAAAGUCAGUGGCGGUGCCGUCCGGCUCCGAGCGUAGUAAUUCUUCUCGCUCUGGAGGCCCGGUCGUGUGCUCGCCAGCAACCCCCAAUUUUUUUCAGGUUGACCUCGGAUCAGGUAGGGAUACCCGCUGAACUUAAGCAUAUCAAUAAGCGGAGGA